GACGAUUCUUGGUCAUUUAGAGGAAGUAAAAGUCGUAACAAGGUUUCCGUAGGUGAACCUGCGGAAGGAUCAUUACUGAGUCGUCGACACGAGUUGUUGCUGGUCUUCAAAUGAGGGCAUGUGCACGCUCUGUCCACACAUCCACUCACACCUGUGCACCCUCUGUAGUUCUAUGGUCUGGGGACAUGCCGUCUCCUCUCUGUAGUUCUACGUUUUUACACACACAUCGUAGUCAAGUCUUAUGGAAUGUGCCCAGCGUUUAACGCAAUACAAUACAACUUUCAGCAACGGAUCUCUUGGCUCUCGCAUCGAUGAAGAACGCAGCGAAAUGCGAUAAGUAAUGUGAAUUGCAGAAUUCAGUGAAUCAUCGAAUCUUUGAACGCACCUUGCGCCCCUUGGCCAUUCCGAGGGGCAUGCCUGUUUGAGUAUCAUGAACACCUCAACUCUCACGGUUUGCCGUGAUGAGCUUGGACUUUGGGGGUUUUGCUGGCCAUGUGGUUGGCUCCUCUCAAAUAAAUCAGCUUACCAGUGUUGGUGGCGUCACAGGUGUGAUAACCGUCUACGCUUGUGGCCGUCCACCAGGUGACCUUCAGCGAUGGAGGUUUGCUGGAGCUUACAAAUGUCUCUCCUCAGCGAAGACAGCUUUUUGAAAGUUCGAUCUCAAAUCAGGUAGGACUACCCGCUGAACUUAAGCAUAUCAAUAAGCGGAGGAAAUC
rnacentral:rRNA from 1 species